rnacentral:rRNA from 1 species
ACGUAGGUGACAAGCGUUGUCCGGAUUUACUGGGUGUAAAGGGCGCGUAGGCGGACUGUCAAGUCAGUCGUGAAAUACCGGGGCUUAACCCCGGGGCUGCGAUUGAAACUGACAGCCUUGAGUAUCGGAGAGGAAAGCGGAAUUCCUAGUGUAGCGGUGAAAUGCGUAGAUAUUAGGAGGAACACCAGUGGCGAAAGCGGCUUUCUGGACGACAACUGACGCUGAGGCGCGAAAGUGUGGGGAGCAAACAG